rnacentral:rRNA from 1 species
UACGGAGGGUGCAAACGUUGUCCGGAAUCACUGGGCGGAAAGAGCAUGUAGGUGGCUUUGUAAGUGAGUGAUUAAAGACCGACGCCUAACGUCGGGACUGUUGCUCAUACUGCAUGGCUAGAGAAUAUCAGGGGCAGGCGGAACUUUGGGUGUAGGGGUGAAAUCCGUAGAUAUCCAAAGGAACACCAAUGGCGAAGGCAGCUUACUAGGGUAUUUCUGACACUGAGAUGCGAAAGCGUGGGGAGCGAACGGG